UGGCGGAGCCCUGCUGAGGGCGUGCGGGGCCCGGCGGGGAUUAUUCUCCAAGAGGAUUUAGACCUUGCUUCAAAAGAUGCCUGCUGC